rnacentral:rRNA from 1 species
AGCGAACGCUGGCGGCAGGCCUAACACAUGCCAGUCGAACGAACUCUUCGGAGUUAGUGGCGGACGGGUGAGUAACACGUGGGAACGUGCCUUUAGGUUCGGAAUAACUCAGGGAAACUUGAGCUAAUACCGGAUGUGCCCUUCGGGGGAAAGAUUUAUCGCCUUUAGAGCGGCCCGCGUCUGAUUAGCUAGUUGGUGAGGUAAAGGCUCACCAAGGCGACGAUCAGUAGCUGGUCUGAGAGGAUGAUCAGCCACAUUGGGACUGAGACACGGCCCAAACUCCUACGGGAGGCAGCAGUGGGGAAUCUUGCGCAAUGGGCGAAAGCCUGACGCAGCCAUGCCGCGUGAAUGAUGAAGGUCUUAGGGUUGUAAAGUUCUUUCACCGGGGACGAUAAUGACGGUACCCGGAGAAGAAGCCCCGGCUAACUUCGUG